UGGGGAAUAUUGCACAAUGGGCGCAAGCCUGAUGCAGCCAUGCCGCGUGUAUGAAGAAGGCCUUCGGGUUGUAAAGCACUUUCAGCGGGGAGGAAGGCGAUAAGGUUAAUAACCUUGUCGAUUGACGUUACCCGCAGAAGAAGCACCGGCUAACUCCGUGCCAGCAGCCGCGGUAAUACGGAGGGUGCAAGCGUUAAUCGGAAUUACUGGGCGUAAAGCGCACGCAGGCGGUCUGUCAAGUCGGAUGUGAAAUCCCCGGGCUCAACCUGGAACUGCAUUCGAAACUGGCAGGCUAGAGUCUUGUAGAGGGGGGUAGAAUUCCAGGUGUAGCGGUGAAAUGCGUAGAGAUCUGGAGGAAUACCGGUGGCGAAGGCGGCCCCCUGGACAAAGACUGACGCUCAGGUGCGAAAGCGUGGGGAGCAAACAGG
rnacentral:rRNA from 1 species